CGGGGUGCUUGCCCGCCGACGACAGCGCACGGGUGCGGAACGCGUAUGGAACCUACCCUUGUCAGGGGAAUAGCCCAGAGAAAUUUGGAUUAAUGCCCCAUGGCACCGAUUGGACACAUGUUUUUUCGGUUAAAGAUUUAUCGGACAGGGAUGGCCAUGCGUACCAUUAGUUAGUUGGUGAGGUAACGGCUCACCAAGGCAGCGAUGGUUAGGGGCCCUGAGAGGGGGAUCCCCCACACUGGUACCGAGACACGGACCAGACUCCUACGGGAGGCAGCAGUGAGGAAUAUUGGACAAUGGGCGGGAGCCUGAUCCAGCCAUGCCGCGUGCAGGAUGACGGCCCUAUGGGUUGUAAACUGCUUUUAUACGGGAAGAAACGCACCUACGUGUAGGUGUUUGACGGUACCGUAAGAAUAAGGACCGGCUAACUCCGUGCCAGCAGCCGCGGUAAUACGGAGGGUCCGAGCGUUAUCAGGAAUCAUUGGGUUUAAAGGGUCAGUAGGCGGGCCUAUAAGUCGGGGGUGAAAGCCCACGGCUCAACCGUGGGACUGCCCUUGAUACUGUAGGUCUUGAGUUAUAGCGGGGUUGCCGGAACAUGUGGUGUAGCGGUGAAACGCAUAGAUAUCACAUACAACACCGAUCGCGAAGGCAGGUGACCAACUAUAUACUGACGCUGAUGGACGAAAGCGUGGGGAGCGAACGGGAUUAGAUACCCCGGUAGUCCACGCCGGAAACGAUGGAUACUAGCUGUCGGGACCUCGGUCUCGGCGGCCAAGCGAAAGUGAUAAGUAUCCCAACUGGGGAAUACGUUCGCAAGAAUGAAACUCAAAGAAAUUGACGGCGGCCCGCACAAGCGGUGGAGCAUGUGGUUUAAUUCGAUGAUACGCGAGGAACCUUACCAGGGCUUAAAUGUACAUUGCAUAGAGUAGAGAUAUUCUUUUCUUCGGACUAUGUACGAGGUGCUGCAUGGUUGUCGUCAGCUCGUGCCGUGAGGUGUCAGGUUAAGUCCUAUAACGAGCGCAACCCCUACCGUUAGUUGCCAGCGAUUCAAGUCGGGGACUCUAACGGGACUGCCGGUGCAAACCGUGAGGAAGGUGGGGACGACGUCAAAUCAUCACGGCCCUUACGUCCUGGGCCACACACGUGCUACAAUGGCCGGUACAGAGGGAAGCCACCCCGCAAGGGGGCGCGGAUCUAUAAAACCGGUCACAGUUCGGAUCGGGGUCUGCAACUCGACCCCGUGAAGCUGGAAUCGCUAGUAAUCGGAUAUCAGCCAGAUCCGGG
rnacentral:rRNA from 1 species